UACGUAGGUCCCGAGCGUUGUCCGGAUUUACUGGGUGUAAAGGGAGCGUAGACGGCCAUUCAAGCCAGAUGUGAAAGCCCGGGGCUCAACCCCGGGACUGCAUUUGGAACUGUAUGGCUGGAGUGUCGGAGAGGCAGGCGGAAUUCCUAGUGUAGCGGUGAAAUGCGUAGAUAUUAGGAGGAACACCAGUGGCGAAGGCGGCCUGCUGGACGAUGACUGACGUUGAGGCUCGAAAGCGUGGGGAGCAAACAGG
rnacentral:rRNA from 1 species